UUGCCCAUUUGACCACCACUUUUUCACUUCAUAUAUUCAAUGGCUAUGCUUCUGGAAUAAAAUGUAAUUGCCAUGGUCUGAUGGACAAAGAGUGGCCAUGUCUUUUUUUUCCUAUAUGAAAAGGCAAAAUAAUCUAAC
ensembl:snoRNA